AUGUGCUGGAGGUCCCUGGCAGGCCACAACCUGUCACCCCUGAGCGCCCGGUGCUGCUCCUCACGGCUCCGGCCCGCUUCCCCUUCUGCCGCUCCUGCUCCCUCAGCCGGCUCCAGGGACCCCGCAGCCCCUCUCCCCCAGCCUGCCGAGCUCCAGCAAUCCCCGCUCCAGCAUUUUCCCCAACUUUUCCCCGCCGCACCCCCCUCGUCCCUCAGGCCCUGCGCUCCCCCCCCACCUCCGCCUCAUAACUCCUUCCCCUCCGCUCUCACCUCGCGGCCCGAGGAGCGGCCCCGCCGGCGGUGCGGCGCUGCUGGGAGGCCGGAGGGAGGCGGGGAGCGCUGCCCGGGCAGGUGCGGUGUGUGGGGACGGCCCCCGGACCCCGCAGCCCCCUCAGGAGACCACCAGCAGCAAGGGAUCACUAUUUGGCAGCAUGUCCUCCCGGGCCGGUCUCCGCCGAGCGCGACCCGGGGAUCACUAUUGCGCAGGUGAGAAACGCUUCUCCUGGCCAGGGGCUGCCACAUCCACCUGGCUCCUGGAUUAUUGGGAAUGUUCUCCACAGCGUCCCGGCUUUUCCUGGCAGGUGUCUCCUCCAGUCCUUGGAGCAAUCCUUGGAUCCUGCAGCAUUCCUUCGUGUCCCCAAGCGCUGCCCGUGGUGACAGAGCAGCAGGUGAUGGAGAAAUGGCUCUGUGAGGUGCAGGGCUGCUGUCUGCGUUCCCGUGCUGGCCGCACCUUUCUCCUGGAAACCGCUUUCCAUUCUCUUCCCAUUCCUGUUUUGUAUUCCCACCUAAGCUGUGGAUUUUUAGCCAUGUGUUUCUCCUCUCAGAGCUGAAGCGGCAGAGGAAAUUACAGCACCAGUUUUACGGACAACAAAGAGAUCCCCCCUCCUCCCCGGCAGCCUCUCUGUAACCAGAACAAACAGAAAUUCUCCUUUAAUCCAGCACUGGCCGAGUGGCACUCCGCAGUGGGGAAGUCAAGCUCUUUUUCAGGUUCUCCUGAUCAAAAUUCUCUUGUUCCCAGGAAGCAGAAAAUUGAAUUGGGCACCUGUGGAAAUGGAGGUGGAAUUUCACCUCUCCUCCCUUUGCAGAAGUUGUUUAGGCUCAGCUCUGUCCCCCUCGCUGGCUGGGAGAAGAGAAUUAUUGUCACUUCUCCAUGGCUGGAACACAAUUCUGUGAUAAAUAAACAAUUCCAGGCGCUUGAACCUCGGCUGUUG
rnacentral:lncRNA from 1 species